GCGACGAUGGUAGCGCUGAGAGGGUGACGGCACACUGGACUGAGACACGGCCCAGACUCCUACGGGAGGCAGCAGUAGGGAAUAUUGCGCAAUGGACGGAAGUCUGACGCAGCGACGCCGCGUGAGCGAUGAAGGUCUUCGGAUCGUAAAGCUCUGUCCUUGGGGAAGAAGGUCUUCGGACUUGACGGUACCCAAGAAGAAAGCCCCGGCUAACUACGUGCCAGCAGUCGCGGUAAUACGUAGGGGGCGAGCGUUGUCCGGAAUUACUGGGCGUAAAGGGUGCGUAGGCGGCCCUUUAAGUCGGAUGUGAAAGCCCGCGGCUUAACCGCGGAAUGGCAUUCGAAACUGGAGGGCUUGAGUGUCGGAGAGGGUAGUGGAAUUCCCAGUGUAGCGGUGAAAWRMGWARAUAUUGGGAGGAACACCAGUGGCGAAGGCGACUACCUGGACGAUAACUGACGCUGAGGCACGAAAGCUAGGGGAGCAAACAGGAUUAGAUACCCUGGUAGUCCUAGCCGUAAACGAUGGGUACUAGGUGUGGGUGGUUUCGAUACCAUCCGUGCCGUAGUUAACGCAUUAAGUACCCCGCCUGGGGAGUACGUGCGCAAGCAUGAAACUCAAAUGAAUUGACGG
rnacentral:rRNA from 1 species